GGGCUUCAUUGGGAAGAGAGUUGCCAGCAGGUCAAGGAAGAUUUCUCAGUAAUCUGUACAGUUCUCUGCACUGGACUCCACCUUUUCAGAAUGAUGAAAGCAAUACUAAGGAAGAAACAGAAUAU